AUUGAACGCUGGCGGCAUGCCUUACACAUGCAAGUCGAACGGCAGCACGGGAGCAAUCCUGGUGGCGAGUGGCGAACGGGGUGAGUAAUAUAUCGGAACGUGCCCAGUCGUGGGGAUAACGUAGCGAAAGCUACGCUAAUACCGCAUACGAUCUAUGGAUGAAAGCGGGGGGAUCGCAAGACCUCGCGCGAUUGGAGCGGCGAUAUCAGAUUAGGUAGUUGGUGAGGUAAAGGCUCACCAAGCCGACGAUCUGUAGCUGGUCUGAGAGGACGACCAGCCACACUGGGACUGAGACACGGCCCAGAC
rnacentral:rRNA from 1 species